rnacentral:rRNA from 1 species
UGGGGAAUUUUGGACAAUGGGCGAAAGCCUGAUCCAGCAAUGCCGCGUGUGUGAAGAAGGCCUUCGGGUUGUAAAGCACUUUUGUCCGGAAAGAAAUCCUUGGCUCUAAUACAGUCGGGGGAUGACGGUACCGGAAGAAUAAGCACCGGCUAACUACGUGCCAGCAGCCGCGGUAAUACGUAGGGUGCAAGCGUUAAUCGGAAUUACUGGGCGUAAAGCGUGCGCAGGCGGUUUGCUAAGACCGAUGUGAAAUCCCCGGGCUCAACCUGGGAACUGCAUUGGUGACUGGCAGGCUAGAGUAUGGCAGAGGGGGGUAGAAUUCCACGUGUAGCAGUGAAAUGCGUAGAGAUGUGGAGGAAUACCGAUGGCGAAGGCAGCCCCCUGGGCCAAUACUGACGCUCAUGCACGAAAGCGUGGGGAGCAAACAGGAUUAGAUACCCUGGUAGUCCACGCCCUAAACGAUGUCAACUAGUUGUUGGGGAUUCAUUUCCUUAGUAACGUAGCUAACGCGUGAAGUUGACCGCCUGGGGAGUACGGUCGCAAGAUUAAAACUUAAAUGAAUUGACGGGGUCA